rfam:Otolemur garnettii contig179681, whole genome shotgun sequence.
CCAAAAGCUCUUUUAAGAGCCACCCACAGUUGUCCCAAAAGAGCUGU